ACUAUCUACUUCCAAAUUUUAUCGCAUGAAGUGCCUAAAACUUCAUGCUUGCAUGCACUUCUACGGAGUUCUUUCUAAUACUAAAAUCUGCGGCGGAAUGUGUUUUCAUAAUUUGAGAAGGCUGAAUUAAAAUACAAUCAAAAAUAUGAUCAAAUAAUUAUAUUUAUUACUAAGCACUGAUUUCUCAAUCCACUAUAUUACCACUUUUACAAGAUAAAAUAAUUUUAAAGUCGGCAAAUAAUAAGUUACAUGGCAAGGCCAGAUAUCGAUACAUCAAUUAACCAACAAAUGUUUAGUAAUUUAAUUAAUUAACCAAAAUUAGUAAUACUCUACUAUAGCACUCGAUAAUAGAACUUGCAAAUUCCUUAUUUAAUGUUAAACAAAACUAUACACCCUUAUAAUUUUCACGCGAAUGAAUGAUUUGACCGUAAGGAAUUCUUACAUGUUCUAUUGUAGAGUACUUUUAGUUAUAAUUGCAUUUAGAUGUCAAAAUUUUAUUUUGAUCGAAUUUCUAUCACAGGAAACAAGAUGCCAAUUUGAAUAGAAAAAUUUCAAUAAAAUGUUCAUUUAAAUAUAAUGGAUACAUAACUCUUUAACUUCAACCCAAACGUAAUAAAAUAAUAGACCUCUCACCGGAAUAGUCGAGAACAAAGGCGACUUUUAUACAAAAGGCUCAUGCAAAAAAUACACAAUUACAUACAAUCACUUUUUGCAAAAAAUAUUCAUCUAUUUUAGAUUUUUCUUUUUUUUAAUGAUUUUAAUUUACAUUUAAGACUUAAAAAAGUAUA